rnacentral:rRNA from 1 species
GUAUCCACACGUGAACCGCAACGAGCGCCGCGCAGGGCGAGAGCCCGGCGUCCCAUGCGGGCGGGAGCCCGCGUGGGGGGGGACUCGUCCCCUUGGCCCGAUCCUCUUUUUUCCCACCGGAUUAAACCGAUUGCCUGAAGCUUGACGUGUGCGGGGCCUCCCCGCCGCGACUAAUUGAGACAACUCUCAACAACGGAUAUCUUGGCUCUCGCAACGAUGAAGAACGCAGCGAAAUGCGAUACGUAGUGUGAAUUGCAGAAUUCCGUGAAUCAUCGAAUCUUUGAACGCAUAUUGCGGUGGUGCCUCGGUAUCACCAUGUCUGCCUCAGCGUCGGAGUACCCCCCUCACCCCUACUCCCCCGGAGUAGGCGUGGACCUGGCCUCCCGAGGCGCUCGCGGCUCGGCUGGCUGAAGUGCAGAGGAGCACGCUCGGGCCUGUAUGGCACCGGCAAGGUAGGUAGCUCGACUACUCCUGCCGACGCCUUGGGCUCGCGGCGGCUCCCGCAGGAAAUACUCUCUUCUCGACCUGAGAUCAGGCAAGGCUACCCGCUGAACUUAAGCAUAUCAAUAAGCGGAAGGAAA